rnacentral:rRNA from 1 species
UACGUAGGUGGCAAGCGUUGUCCGGAUUUAUUGGGUUUAAAGGGUGCGUAGGCGGUCUUAUAAGUCAGUGCUGAAAUAUCCCGGCUUAACCGGGAGGGUGGCAUUGAUACUGUAGGACUUGAGUAUAGUCGAGGUAGGCGGAAUUGACGGUGUAGCGGUGAAAUGCUUAGAUAUCGUCAAGAACACCGAUAGUGUAGACAGUUUACUAGGCUAUAACUGACGCUGAGGCACGAAAGUGUGGGGAUCAAACAGG